AGGUUAGUGCAAAAGUAAUUGCAGUUUUUGUCAUUGAAAGUAAUGGCAAAAACUGCAAUUGCUUU
rnacentral:miRNA from 1 species